AUUGAACGCUGGCGGCAGGCCUAACACAUGCAAGUCGAACGAGUGGCGGACGGGUGAGUAAUGUCUGGGAAACUGCCUGAUGGAGGGGGAUAACUACUGGAAACGGUAGCUACUACCGCAUACCAUCAGAUGUUCCCAGAUGGGAUUAGCUUGUUGGUGGGGUAACGGCCCACCAAGGCGACGAUACCUAGCUGGUCUGGGAGGAUGACCACCCAAACGGGAGCGUAGACACGGUCCAGACUCCUACGGGAUGCAGCAGUGUGGAACAUUGCACAAUGGGCGCAAGCCUGAUGCAGCCAUGCCGCGUGUAUGAAGAAGGCCUUCGGGGUGUAAAGUACUUUCAGCGGGGAGGCGUUACCCGCAGAAGAAGCACCGGCUAACUCCGUGCCAGCAGCCGCGGUAAUUC
rnacentral:rRNA from 1 species